rnacentral:rRNA from 1 species
GACGAACGCUGGCGGCGUGCUUAACACAUGCAAGUCGAAUGGAAAGGCCCUGCUUUUGUGGGGUGCUCGAGUGGCGAACGGGUGAGUAACACGUGAGUAACCUGCCCUUGACUUUGGGAUAACUUCAGGAAACUGGGGCUAAUACCGGAUAGGAGCUCCUGCUGCAUGGUGGGGGUUGGAAAGUUUCGGCGGCUGGGGAUGGACUCGCGGCUUAUCAGCUUGUUGGUGGGGUAGUGGCUUACCAAGGCUUUGACGGGUAGCCGGCCUGAGAGGGUGACCGGCCACAUUGGGACUGAGAUACGGCCCAGACUCCUACGGGAGGCAGCAGUGGGGAAUAUUGCACAAUGGGCGGAAGCCUGAUGCAGCAACGCCGCGUGCGGGAUGACGGCCUUCGGGUUGUAAACCGCUUUCGCCUGUGACGAAGCGUGAGUGACGGUAAUGGGUAAAGAAGCACCGGCUAACUACGUG